rnacentral:rRNA from 1 species
AUUGAACGCUGGCGGCAGGCCUAACACAUGCAAGUCGAGCGGAUGAAGGUAGCUUGCUCCUGGAUUCAUCGGCGGACGGGUGAGUAAUGCCUAGGAAUCUGCCUGGUAGUGGGGGAUAACGUCCUGAAACGGGCGCUAAUACCGCAUACGUCCUGAGGGAGAAAGUGGGGGAUCUUCGGACCUCACGCUAUCAGAUGAGCCUAGGUCGGAUUAGCUAGUUGGUGGGGUAAAGGCCUACCAAGGCGACGAUCCGUAACUGGUCUGAGAGGAUGAUCAGUCACACUGGAACUGAGACACGGUCCAGACUCCUACGGGAGGCAGCAGUGGGGAAUAUUGGACAAUGGGCGAAAGCCUGAUACAGACAUGCAGCGUGUGUGAAGAAGGUUUUCGGAUUGAAAAGCACUUUAAGUUGGGAGGAAGGGCAGUAAGUUAAUACCUUGCUGUUUUGACGGUACAAACAGAAUAAGCACCGGCUAACUUCGUG